GACGAACGCUGGCGGCGUGCUUAACACAUGCAAGUCGAACGAAGUGGCGAACGGGUGAGUAAUACGUGGGUAACCUGCCCUCCUUUUUGGGAUAAGCCUUGGAAACGGGGUCUAAUACCGAAUAAAGGGGGAUGGGCUCGCGGCCUAUCAGCUUGUUGGUGGGGUGAUGGCCUACCAAGGCGGUGACGGGUAGCCGGCCUGAGAGGGUGACCGGCCACAUUGGGACUGAGAUACGGCCCAGACUCCUACGGGAGGCAGCAGUGGGGGAUAUUGCACAAUGGACGCAAGUCUGAACCAGCCAAGUAGCGUGCAGGAUGACGGCCUAUGGGUUGUAAACUGCUUAUUGGGAUAAAGAGGUACCAUAUGAAUAAGGACCGGCUAAUUCCGUGCCAGCAGCCGCGGUAAUAC
rnacentral:rRNA from 1 species